rnacentral:rRNA from 1 species
UACGGAGGGAGCUAGCGUUAUUCGGAAUUACUGGGUGUAAAGCGCACGUAGGCGGCUUUGUAAGUUAGAGGUGAAAGCCUGGAGCUCAACUCCAGAAUUGCCUUUAAGACUGCAUCGCUUGAAUCCAGGAGAGGUGAGUGGAACUCCGAGUGUAGAGGUGAAAUUCGUAGAUAUUCGGAAGAACACCAGUGGCGAAGGCGGCUCACUGGACUGGUGUUGACGCUGAGGUGCGAAAAGCGUGGGGAGCAAACAGGG